UGGGGAAUAUUGGACAAUGGGCGCAAGCCUGAUCCAGCCAUGCCGCGUGAGUGAUGAAGGCCCUAGGGUUGUAAAGCUCUUUCACCGGUGAAGAUAAUGACGGUAACCGGAGAAGAAGCCCCGGCUAACUUCGUGCCAGCAGCCGCGGUAAUACGAAGGGGGCUAGCGUUGUUCGGAUUUACUGGGCGUAAGGCGCACGUAGGCGGACUAUUAAGUCAGGGGUGAAAUCCCGGGGCUCAACCCCGGAACUGCCUUUGAUACUGGUAGUCUUGAGUUCGAGAGAGGGGAGUGGAAUUCCGGGUGUAGAGGUGAAAUUCGUAGAUAAUCGGAGGAACACAAGUGGCGAAGGCGGCUCACUGGCGCGAUACUGACGCUAAGGUGCGAAAGAGCGGGGAGCAAGCAGG
rnacentral:rRNA from 1 species